GGUUUAUAUAUAAUAAAUUGCAAAUUUAUUUUAGCUUAAGGCAUAAACCU
rnacentral:tRNA from 1 species